AGUCUUAUAUUCAAUUAUGAUUUAAAAUUGCAAAUUUUAAGGUGUAUUUUAAUUACUAAGGCUU
rnacentral:tRNA from 1 species